AUUAGUCUUGGAUUGAUACAAUUCUGAUGAAAAUAUUUCGUUUGUUUAAGCAUUAGCUCAAAGUUUUCUGAAAGAAAAUCUGUUUUAAAACAAGUCAUUUUAUGGUAAAAAUGGGAAGAUGGCUGUCUGUUUCACAUGUGCAUUUCUUACACCUGAACGUUGCACCAGGUCCGUUAACCAGAUAACUUGUGACCAGACCUUGUGUUUCCUCCACUUCUGCCUGUGGUGAGCCCCUUCGUCCGUGCUCUACUUGUAAUGCUUUAUGCAGGACUUAUAUUCAAGUGAACACAAACUCAGAGAAAACACAGUAAUCUGUUUCGAAAUGCCUUAUUCAUUUUUUAUGAAUUGCAAUAAACCGCUGUUAAUCUAUACUAUAGUUUCAAAUAAACGGAAGCAAAUAGAUAUGAUGCAUACAAAGCAGUCCUCCUAAGAUCUGGCAGUUCUGACAUGUAAAUAAAAAAUAGAGCUUUAACCAUUGUGCACCAUGAAGACGGUCAACAAUGUUUUAUUUGUAUUUCUAUUCUAGUAGAAAAACAUUAAUUCAAUUUAUAACAAAUUAUCUAUUUUAACGAGAUUGUUUUUUAGUCUCAAGCAGUCACAAUUUUAUAUUUUUGUGUAAAUAAAAUCUAGCUUAUAUGUAUAUUUGUCCAACCCGGUCACAAUUUAAAAUCUGACAUUGUUAUGUAUGUGAACUCUACAUUUUUUUAAACUUAGUUAUUUUUAGUUAUAUAUAUGAAUACAAAGAUGUAGUAUUAUAUAUCAUUUAAUUUUUAGCUGAGGGCUAGUUUUGUAGAUGAUUUUCUCCUUUCAUAUGUAGUUUUUAGCUCACCUGAGCUGAAAGCUCACGUGAGCUAUUCUGAUCACAUUUUGUCUGUCGUCCGUCCGUCUGUCCGUCUGUCUGUCUGUCUGUCUGUCUGUAAACAUUUUCAACAUCUUCUCAAGAACCACUGGGCCAAAUUCAACUUAACUUGGAACAAAGCAUUCUUAGCCUAAGGGAAUUCACAGUUGUGAAAAUUAAGGAUUACGCCCUUUUGCAAAGGGAGAUAAUUAGGAAUUUAUGAAAAUUUUCGAGAAAUUUUCAAAACUCUUCUUCUCACGAACCAUAAGGCUAGGAAAGCUUAAACUUGUGUAGAAGCAUCCUCAGGUAGUGUAGAUUCAAAAUUGUGAAAAUCAUGACCCCUGCACCGGGGGUAGGGUGGGGCCACAAUGGGGGGUCAAAGUUUAACAUAGGAAUAUAUAGAGUAAGUCUUUAAAAAUCUCCGUCUCAGAAAUUAAUCAGCCAGGUAAGCUGAAACUUGUGUGGAAUCAUUCUUAGGUAGUGUAAAUUCAAAGUUGUGAAAAUCAAUAUCCCCUGGAGAAGGGUGGGGCCAUAUUGGGGGUCAAAUUUUAAGAAAGGAAUAUAUAGAUUAAAGCUUUAAAAAUCUUAUUCUCAGAAACUAAUCAGUCGGGAAAGCUGAAACUUGUGUGGAAGCAUCCUCAGGUAGUGAAGAUUCAAAGUUGUGAAAAUCAUGACCCCUGGGGGAAUGAUGGGGCCACAAUGGGGAGGGGGUGGAAGUUUUACAUAGGAAUAUGUUGAGUAAACACAUUAUUGUACAUUGUCCAAAUAGUGUGUAUUAUGACUCCAUUAAGCUUAUUUUAUCAUACGUAUUGUUCCUCAGGUGAUCGAUGUGGCCCAUGGGUCUCUUGUUAUUUUGUUGUCCUGAAGAAGGGACGGGUUGUCCCAAAAAUAUUUUACUUUUUUGUUCGUGUCGUUGUUUAUUUUUAGUGCUCAUAUAUAUAUAUAUAUAAACGGUAUUGUUAUGAUAUUCAGAAAAUAUUUAUUUUUAUAUAUUUAUUUCAGCAGUUGUGCAAUUAAACAUUAAAAGU
rnacentral:sRNA from 1 species